AUUGAACGCUGGCGGUAUGCUUUACACAUGCAAGUCGAACGGCAGCACGGACUUCGGUCUGGUGGCGAGUGGCGAACGGGUGAGUAAUGUAUCGGAACGUGCCCAGUCGUGGGGGAUAACGUAGUGAAAAUUACGCUAAUACCGCAUACGAUCUAUGGAUGAAAGCGGGGGAUCGCAAGACCUCGCGCGAUUGGAGCGGCCGAUAUCAGAUUAGGUAGGUGGGAGGGGAAAGGCCUACCAAGCCGACGAUCUGUAGCUGGUCUGAGAGGAUGAUCAGCCACACUGGGACUGAGACACGGCCCAGACUCCUACGGGAGGCAGCAGUGGGGAAUUUUGGACAAUGGACGCAAGUCUGAUCCAGCCAUUCCGCGUGCAGGAUGAAGGCCCUCGGGUUGUAAACUGCUUUUGUACAGAACGAAAAGGCUCUGGUUAAUACCUAGGGCUCAUGACGGUACUGUAAGAAUAAGCACCGGCUAACUACGUGCCAGCAGCCGCAGUAA
rnacentral:rRNA from 1 species